CCUACGGGAGGCAGCAGUGGGGAAUAUUUCACAAUGGGGGAAACCCUGAUGCAGCGACGCCGCGUGAGUGAAGAAGUAUUUCUGUCUGUAAAGCUCUAUCAGCAGGGAAGAAAAUGACGGUACCUGAGUAAGCAGCCCCGGCUAACUACGUGCCAGCAGCCGCGGUAAUACGUAGGGGGCAAGCGUUAUCCGGAUUUACUGGGGGUAAAGGGAGCGUAGACGGCAGCACAAGUCUGGAGUGAAAUGCCGGGGCUUAACCCCGGAACUGCUUUGGAAACUGUGCAGCUAGAGUGCAGGAGAGGUAAGUGGAAUUCCUAGUGUAGCGGUGAAAUGCGUAGAUAUUAGGAGGAACACCAGUGGCGAAGGCGGCUUACUGGACUGUAACUGACGUUGAGGCUCGAAAGCGUGGGGAGCAAACAGGAUUAGAUACCCCAGUAGUG
rnacentral:rRNA from 1 species